UAGCCUUUAUUAGGGCACGCAAAGAAAACGCAGCUUUAUAUCGUUAAACCCAGCUUUAGUAUUGAAAGAUAAAUCAAUGUCAUAAUUGACAACUAAUUUAAUCUAUAACCUCAAUUCAAAAAAAAUAAAUACUAAGACAGUAAUGCUCUAAUACUUAAAUUAUAAUUAUGAAAUUUAAAAUUAUGAGAAAGAAAAUAAAGUAAAAUUUAGCACUUAAUACUUAUUCAAUUGUACAUCUGAUAAUACCUCGCAUAUACGUAUAUACUCAGUUCCCAAUUUCAAAUCAAAUCAGUGAUGGUGAUUAUAUAAACAAUUUUGCUAAAUUGAAUUUAAAAUCUGUGAUCAUUUCUACAUAUUAAUUAAAAAAAAAAUAAUCUAUAAAUUGCGACGAACCGAUAAAUCAAUACCUGGAGAAACCAAGCCAAAAAGAAAAAGGGACUACCUGAAAUUCUGAGUAUCUCCGACUGGUAGCAGGGCCCACCUGAUCUGAAUGGGGCUCCUUUGUUGGCAACUAUACGUUUGGGUCAAAAGAGGCAGCAGCAGAUCGACCAGUUAGGAUGCUUCCAGAAUGUCUAGCAGGUAGUGGAGGGCAAUCGGUAUUAGGUGUAGCCGAUUGGAAGGAAUGCAGGUUCCGGAGGUGAUGAUCCAAGUGACUUGAUGUGGUAACACGUGGAGUAGCAAGUGAGGUGGAAGCAGUAACAAUAAAAAUGCAGCAAAAGCAGAAGCAGAGGAUAAGCAGAAGGUACAGGAAGGCCUAAAAAUGGGGACCACACAUGAGGUUCGACAUGGCUGUCAAUUUUAUGGCAUUUUUGUGUGGAUCGGGUAUGUUAGGAGGGACCAUCUUAACGGUAUAUCAUAUCUGUGUAGUAUGUAUAUUUAUGUAUGAUUUUUAAAUAAAUUAUUUUAUGAAACUA
rnacentral:lncRNA from 1 species